rnacentral:rRNA from 1 species
GUUUGAUCCUGGCUCAGGAUGAACGCUGGCGGCGUGCUUAACACAUGCAAGUCGAGCGAAGCGGCUGAAUUGAUUCUUCGGAUGAUUUUCAGUUGACUGAGCGGCGGACGGGUGAGUAACGCGUGGGUGACCUGCCCCAUACCGGGGGAUAACAGCUGGAAACGGCUGCUAAUACCGCAUAAGCGCACAGAGCUGCAUGGCUCGGUGUGAAAAACUCCGGUGGUAUGGGAUGGGCCCGCGUCUGAUUAGGCAGUUGGCGGGGUAACGGCCCACCAAACCGACGAUCAGUAGCCGGCCUGAGAGGGCGACCGGCCACAUUGGGACUGAGACACGGCCCAAACUCCUACGGGAGGCAGCAGUGGGGAAUAUUGCACAAUGGGGGAAACCCUGAUGCAGCGACGCCGCGUGAGCGAAGAAGUAUUUCGGUAUGUAAAGCUCUAUCAGCAGGGAAGAUAAUGACGGUACCUGACUAAGAAGCCCCGGCUAACUACGUGCCAGCAGCCGCGGUAAUACGUAGGGGGCAAGCGUUAUCCGGAUUUACUGGGUGUAAAGGGAGCGUAGACGGCAAGGCAAGUCUGAUGUGAAAACCCAGGGCUUAACCCUGGGACUGCAUUGGAAACUGUCUGGCUCGAGUGCCGGAGAGGUAAGCGGAAUUCCUAGUGUAGCGGUGAAAUGCGUAGAUAUUAGGAAGAACACCAGUGGCGAAGGCGGCUUACUGGACGGUAACUGACGUUGAGGCUCGAAAGCGUGGGGAGCAAACAGGAUUAGAUACCCUGGUAGUCCACGCCGUAAACG